rnacentral:lncRNA from 1 species
AUUUAGAAAAGUUUUGGAUUCAUCUGUUUAUGAGGAGGAAAAGAGGCCAAGAAAAGGCAGCAAUUUGUCCAUGUGCUUAAUUAGUGAGUGGCAGGGGCAGUAACCUGGUCUGCUGAGCACCCUGGACUCCCUGAUCCCAGCUCAAAAUAGUUUCCAGUUUUCAUCUGCCAGUUGCUUCGGAGGCUUUUCUAAGGAAGACAUUCAUAAAAUGACCCAGAAUUCAUCCUCCUUAGGUGAUAGGAUCAUUACUCCUUAUACACCCCCUAGGUCUCAGCCUAUGAACAAACACUUGUUUGUUUCUCUGUCUACCCUGUUCCAAACCACCGAACUGGAUUUUGCGAACAAGAAGAGCUGUUUCCUGUGCCUGCCCCUGAGAGCUGAUGGCUUCCCAGAGAUCCCUCGCAGUCCUGCGCAGACAGACAGAAUGCAGAAGCUGGCAGAGGAUCCUCCACACACAAGAUCAGAGGAUGUCCCAGAUCAUCUUUUCUUUGUGGAUACUGCAGGUCUAUGUGAAAUAGUGUGUUUUUGCGGGGUGCUGUCUCUUAGGACAAGUGAAGGGCUGAUGAGAAAGGAAACUGUGUGAGGUAUCACAAAGCCACCCAUGGGGCAGCCUGUGAAAAUAUGUUCACACGGAGGGAAAAUAUCAGUGUUCAUAUAUCCCUUUUAGUGCUGCCUUCCCUUUUCCACUCCCACACCACCCCCAAAACAUUUUAAAACAUUAGUUUUGGAAGACUGACUUUGUCUUAUUCUAAAAUGUGUGCACAGUAACAGAAGUGAGAAAGUCAUUCCCAGUCUUCAUCUAGUCACCUGAGUCAUUACUUUAAUGCAGCUUCUUUUUGUUCCUCAAUCUUUGAUUACAUAAUCAUUUGCAAAAAUACACUCCUGAAAUGAAAUCACAGUUAGCUGUGCAUUUUGGAGUAGUAUUAGAAUUAAGACUUACCAUCAAAGAGGUUGCCAUCUAGAAUGUUUAUUCUCUUUACUGUGCCUCAGGGGCUUUACACGCAUUUGCAACUUUAUUUUUAUUUUAUCCUAGAGGAAAAAAGGUUCAGAGUGAAUGGCUAUUAGCCUAAGGUUACUCAGCUAGUGAUAUAGGAGUUAAGAAGAAAUUAUUUAGGCAGAUAGUGAGGGUACGGGAGUCCUCGGAAAGGUUUUCCUUUUAAUGAAAAGCAGCCCCCAAAUCAUUUUCUUUUCUAACAAAGAGCAGCCUGUAAAAUUGAGCUGCAGACAUAGACAAGCAAGCUAGAAGCUUGCACAGGCGAAUGCCAGCAGUUGUGCCAACAGGAAAAGGCUACCUGGAACUAGGCAUGUUCAAAAUGGCAGCUCUAUCUUCUCUUCUCUUUGCCAGCCAGGUGUAUAGUAAGGAGCAGACAACAUGGCACUGGCCAAGUGGAAAGGCUGUUUGCAUAAUAAGAUUACGAUGGGGUGGCCUGCCUUCCCUGUGUGCUGCGUAAACAUCACACCUGAUCCAACCAAUCUGCAGGCAGUACAUAAAUCAGACACCGCCUCCUCCAGCCUGCCUAUAAAAUCUGGUGCACUCCACAUGGGCCAGAAGUCCUAUUUGGAUGCCCCUCUCUUUCGCAAGAGAGAGAGCUGUUCUCCUUUCUCUUUCUUUUGCCUAUUACAUUCCACUCCUAAAGUCACUUCUCAUGUAUGUCCACGUCCUUAGUCUUCUUGGUGCAAGACAGUGAACCCCGGGUAUUUACCUCAGACAACACCACCACUUCACUAGGAGUUAAAAGAACUUGAAAUGCAAAUUCAUGGUCAUCUGGUUCCAAAGCCCAUAUUAACAAAAUUUUUUUAAUGGCGAUAAAAUACACAUAACAUAAAGUUGACCAUGUUAACUAUUUUUAAAUGUACAGUCCAGUAGUGUUAAGUACAUUCACAUUGUUGGGAAACCAUUCUUCAGAACUUUUUAAGUUUCCCAAACUGAAACUCUGCAUCUAUUAAGAACAACUCUUUCUUCCAAUCCCCAGCUGUUGGCAACUAUCAUUCUACUUUCUGUCUUUAUGCAUUUAAUAAUUCUAGGUACCUCACAUAAAUGAAAUCAAAUGGUAUUUGUAACUGGCUUAUUUCACUUAGCAUAAUAUCCUCAAGAUUCAGUCAUAUUGUUAUAUGUGUCAUAAAUUGCAUUUGUAACGUCACAAACUACACCUUGAUACAUUGUGUACUGAUUAGCAUGGAUUUAUAAUUAUUUUUAUGCUUUGCCUUCUACAUUCUAUAAAAUAACAAAAAGUUGAGUUACAAACCAAAAUUAUAAUAAUGAAAGUUUUUACAUUUGCCCAUAUUUUUACCUUUGCUAGAAAAUUUUAUAUGGCCUAGCAUCCAUUCAUUUUAACUUAAAGGAUUCUCUUUCACAUUCCUUACAGAACAGGUCUAGUAGUAAUGAAUUUCCUCAGAAUUUUUUUAAAUCUGGGAAGUUUUAAUUCUUUGCUUUUGAAGGACAGUAUUGCUGGAUAUAGAAUUCUUAGUCACAACUUUUUUUUUUCUUCCAGCAUUUUAAAUAUAUUAUCUCACUACUUUUUUAUUUGCAAGGUUUUUGCUGAGAAAUCUGAAGAUAGUGUUAUUGAGGACACAUUGCAUGCUAUUUUUCUAUUUCUGUUUUCAAGAUUUCCUUUGUCUUUGAAUUCUCACAGUUGACUAUAUUUUAGUGUGGAUCUCUUUGGAUUAUCAUACUUGGAGUUUGUUGAGCUUCUUGUAUUUGUAGAUUCAUGUCUUUUCUCAAAUUUGGGCAGUUUGGGGUCAUUAUUUCUCCAAACACAGUAGUUUACCGUCACCCACAGUUUCACUUUCCACAGUUUCCGUUGCCAAUGCUCAACAGCAGUUUGAAAAUAUUAAAUGAAAAUUCCAGAAAUAAGCAAUUUAUAAGUUUAAAUCACAUGCCAUUCUGAGCAGUAUGAUGAAAUCUUGUGCUGUCCUGCUCUGUUCUACCUAGGACAUGAAUCAUCCCUCUGUCCAGGAUAUCUACACUGUAUAUACUACCUGCCUAUUAGUCAUUUUGUAGCCAUCUCAGUUAUCAGAUUGGCUGUCAUGGUAUCACAGUGCUUUUGUUCAAGCAAUUCUUAGUUUACUUAAUAAUGUCCCCAAAGUGUAAUAUAGGUGAUGCUGGCAAUUUGGGUAUGCCAAAAAAAAAAUGUUCAUGGAGUGCUUCCUUUAAGUGAAAAGGUGAAAAUUCUUGAUGCAAGGAAAGAAAAAAAUUAUGCUGAGGUUUCUAAGAUCUACAGUAAAAGUAAAUCUAUCCAUGAAAUUGUGAUGGAAGAAAAAGAAAUUUGUAAGUAGUAUAUAUAGGGUUUGAUACUAUAUUUGGGAUGCUGGAACAUACCCUAUUGAUAAAAGAGGACUACUAUAAGUUCUCUGUUCUUUGUUUCUCUCUUCUCCUAAAACUUCAUAAUGAGUAUAUUGGUUCACUUGGUAGUAUUCCAUAGUCUUUCAGUCUCUGUUUACUUUUCUUCAUUCAUUUUUCUAUUGGCACCUUAGACUCAAUAAUUUUAAAUGAUCUGUCUUUAACAUCAAGGAUUUUUUUUCUGCCUAUUCAAGUCUGCCAUUAAAACAUUAGGCUGGAUGCGGUGGCUCACGCCUGUAAUCCCAGCUUUUUGGGAGGCUGAGGUGGGUGGAUAACUUGAGGUCAGGAGUUCAAGACCAGCCUGACUAACAUGGUGAAACCCCAUCUCCACUAAAAAUACAAAAAUUAGCCAGGUGUGGUGGCAUGUACCUGCAGUCCCAGCUACUCAGGAGGCUGAGGCAGGAGAAUCACUUGAACCCAGCAGGUGGAGGUUGCAGUGAGCCGAUAUCGUACCACUGCACUCCAGCCUGGGCAACCAAGGGAGACUCUGUCUAAAAAAAAAAUACACUGUAGUAAAUGUUUGAAUUCAGUUAUCAUAUUUUUCAGCUCCAGAAUUAAUUUCUGUUGGGUUCUUUUUUAUAACUUUUAUCUCUGUUUUGUUUUGUUUUGAGACAGGGUCUCACUCUGUAGCAUAGGCUGGAGUGCAGUGGCACAAUCUUAGCUUACUGCAUCCUCAACUUCCCUGGGAUCAGGUAAUCUUCCCACCUCAGCCCUACUAGUAGCUGGGACUAGAGGUGCACACCAUCAUGCCCAGCUAAUUUUUGAUUUUUAAUAGAGGCAGAGUUUUGCUAUAUUACCCAGGCUAGUCUCUAACUCUUGGGCUCAAACAGUCCUCCCAUCUCAACUUCCUGAAGUACUGGGAUUAUAGGCAGGAGCCACCAGGUCUGACUAAUUUCCAUUUCCUUGUGAAUAUGUGCAUUUUGUUCAUGUAUCUUUUUUAUGAUUUUCUUUACUUAUCUGCCUGUGUUCUUCUUUGGCUCAUAUUUAAGAAUAUGAGCAUAUU